rnacentral:lncRNA from 1 species
UCCGGCGUCACAGACGGUCUUUACAAGCGACUCGUGGGCGUCAAUACUGGGCUGAGUUUGUGGCGCGCUUAGUGAUGGGAUGGCCCUGUGCAGGACGCCGACACGAAAAGAUGAAGAGUUCAAUCCGUGCUGUCUGAACUCACAGUGUAGCAGGCGAGAUAGACGGGAAGAUCGGUAGGGUGGGAGAUGCCGGAAAGGCUUCCCGUGAGACUGGAUAAGAAAUCAAAAAUCUGGUGAAAUUGCCGGCAAGAGGGAGUUAAGGACAUUCCAGGCAGAGGCAAGUUGGUCCUUGCUGGCUGAUCCAGCUUCCCCGUCAGCAUAUGGUGAGCAGUUCGGUGAGAGGACCACACUUCCAAUACUGGCAGAUGAAGCCAGAUACUCCUCUAUGAAGUUAAAUGACUGGUUCAGUGUUAACACUGCUAGUGAGCGACAGAGAUGGAAUUUGAACGCACACCUGUCUGACUCCACCUCGUGUUCCUUCCACAUGGCCAGCAAGCUCUGCUGUCCCACCUCGCACUUCUGGGAGGUGGCUACUCCCUCUUUCCACCCCCUUUUCUGGAUCUUGACAAGGGAUUCUACCCUGCCCCAGCUGUCAAAGCCUGCAGCAGCUGCCAAAAAACCUCAACACAGGCAUACUUUGGACCUACAUCAUGUGUUGAUGUCACAGAUGCUGUACCAGGCAUUUGACUCCUUGAUCUAAAGCCAGGAUUCCUAGCCAACAUGGCGAAACCCUGUCUCUACUAAAAAUAACAAAAAUUAGCUGGGCAUGGUGAUAGGCACCUGUAAUCCCAGCUACUUGGGAGGCUGAGGCAGGAGAAUUACUUGAACCCAGGAAGCGAAGGCUGCAGUGAGCAGAGAUUGUGCCUCUGCACUACAGCCUGGGCUAUGGAGUAAGACUCUGUCUCAAAAAAAAAAAAAAAAAAAAAAUAGUGAGGGGGAUGCAUGCCCACACAAAGGAAUCCUGAUAGAGGAACAAUGGCUUGGUCCGUUUCCCCUCCUGUGUAGCACUGUGAUAAAGGAAAGCCUUUCAGAUUCCUAAGAUGAGGACACAGCAUCCUGGGCCACUGUCACUAAUACAAAUUUGCCUCUGGAGGGACUCUACGGAAGAUAAUUCCCCUGAAAUUUGGAGAGUUGAAUUAAGCUAGGACUGAUUCUGGCUGGAAUUUGUGGUGGCUACGUACCCUAGAGGGCCUCAAGGAAACCCACGGUUCAAGACAGCCCUGACAGAUUCUGGAGUCUAGAACAGAAAUGGAUUUGAACAUGGGCAAGGCCAACCACCCAGUUCACGGCCUGUGUACAGCAAAGAUUACGUUACAGCCUGAGAGCUAAGCCUGGAAGCUCUUUCAUCCAUCCGUUUGUCCAUCUAUCCAUCCAUCUGCUCAUCCAUCCCUCCAUCUGCUCAACAAACGUUAGAGAAUCAAUCCUUGUGUCAGAUACUGGGGCUGCCCUCAAGGAGCUUUUAUAGAGUUCAGGGUACAGCCAGGUGGGGGAGACAGAUCACUAUAAAAACCUACCACUAUAAUCCAAAGGACAAGAGCAAAAAUAGUAAAGAGGAGAGAAGACCCAAAUUUGCCUGGUGGGUCAGAGAGGGCUUUCUAGAAGAGGUAAAAAAUCUUCGGGGCUAUCACUUCACCUUGCCUGGUGGAUAAAGGGAGGACUUUCCAGAUACAGUGGACAGAAUGUGCAGAGGCAGGAGCCAUGAGUGGCAGAGGCAGGGGAGGGACUGCAGAGACAGGUUGGAGCCAAAGCACGUGGCACUGGAGCCAUAGCCAAAGGAACAAACUGUGAGACCUGGGACUUGAAUUUGGAGGUGGUGAAAAGUGACAAGGUCUUCACAGAAGAGUGAUUUUUUCAACUUAGGGAAGGCUGACCCCAGACCAAUGCUGCCAAAGUGUGGUCUGUGGGCUGUUAGCAGUUCGUGACGAUGUAAGUACAGGAAUUGAGAUUAAGCAUUUAGAACACCUACAGCACUUUGAUAGUCAUUUUACUUUUUAAAUUUUGAGCUGGCAUUUUAUAUGCCUGGUUUUUUUUUGUUUUUGUUUUUUUAUUUUUUUUGAGACAGUCUCGCUCUGUCGCCCAGGCUGGAGUGCAGUGGCGCGAUCUCUGCUCACUGCAAGCUCCGCCUCCCGGGUUCACGCCAUUCUCCUGCCUCAUCCUCCCAAGUAGCUGGGACUGCAGGCGCCUGCCGCCUCGCCCAGCUAAUUUUUUGUAUUUUUAAUAGAGACGGGGUUUCACCAUGUUAGCCAGGAUGGUCUCAAUCUCCUGAUCUCGUGAUCUGCCCGCCUUGGCCUCCCAAAAUGCUGGGAUUACAGGUGUGAGCCACCACGCCCAGCCUUAUUCUCUUUUUCUAAUAGUUGCACUUUAUCAUAUUUUACAAAUGUGUGAGUCUGCUAUGGAUUAGAAAUUAAUAAGAGAUUUUGCCACAGAUAGUUUGAGAAGCCCAGCACUGCCACUCAACAAAUGCUGGUGCAUUCAGAUGGUGAAAUAUUCUGCAGCUAUUAAAGGAGUUAAAACUGCCUCCACUUACCUGGAGGCCCAUCUGUGACACCUUUUUAGGUUAAAAGGAAAAGAAAAACUUGCUUAGGACUGAAUAUGAGCGGUUGCAAUUUGUAACAAUGAUGUAUAUAUACAUAUACAUUUUCAUGUAUUUGUAUGAACAUAAAAGUAUUGAAGGAUAUUCAUCAAACUGCUAAAAGGGUUGCUUCAGAGUAACGGACUCGGAGAAGGCAGAUUAAUUUUCUCUUAAUGGAACUCUGUAUUGUAUCACUUGUAAAAAUAAGCAUGUGUUAUCUUUAUGAUAAAAAAGUAAAAACCUAAAAA